rnacentral:rRNA from 1 species
UGAGGAAUAUUGGACAAUGGGCGCAAGCCUGAUCCAGCCAUGCCGCGUGCAGGAUGACGGUCCUAUGGAUUGUAAACUGCUUUUGUACAGGAAGAAACACUGGUUCGUGAACCAGCUUGACGGUACUGUAAGAAUAAGGAUCGGCUAACUCCCUGGC